rnacentral:rRNA from 1 species
GAUGAACGCUGGCGGCGUGCCUAAUACAUGCAAGUCGAGCGAACAGACGAGGAGCUUGCUCCUCUGACGUUAGCGGCGGACGGGUGAGUAACACGUGGAUAACCUACCUAUAAGACUGAGAUAACUUCGGGAAACCGGAGCUAAUACCGGAUAAUAUAUUGAACCGCAUGGUUCAAUAGUGAAAGACGGUUUUGCUGUCACUUAUAGAUGGAUCCGCGCCGCAUUAGCUAGUUGGUAAGGUAACGGCUUACCAAGGCAACGAUGCGUAGCCGACCUGAGAGGGUGAUCGGCCGCACUGGAACUGAGACACGGUCCAGACUCCUACGGGAGGCAGCAGUAGGGAAUCUUCCGCAAUGGGCGAAAGCCUGACGGAGCAACGCCGCGUGAGUGAUGAAGGUCUUCGGAUCGUAAAACUCUGUUAUUAGGGAAGAACAAAUGUGUAAGUAACUAUGCACGUCUUGACGGUACCUAAUCAGAAAGCCACGGCUAACUACGUG